GUGCUUGCUCUGGUAGCACAUGUACUAAAAAUCAAAAUAAAACAGAAGAUCAGCAUGACCCUUGAGUAAGGAUGACAUGCAAAACUGUGAAGCAUUCCGUAGGUUU